UUUUAUCCCUUUCAUCUUCCCACCCACCCCCAAAUUAAUGCACCUUAACCCUAAAUCUACGCCUUAUUUCACCCCACCAACCCAAUUGUCUGUCUUCCUCGCCUUAAUUCUUCCAAAUCACAAUCUUUUUGCUCAGGCUGUCUAGAUCGUUGACCCACCACUACCAGAUCCCUCAACGGCGACUUCUUAAUAUUUGUAGAAAUUCAAUUUGGUCUUGUGGAAGGAUUGUAAUUUAGGAGGUUAUAGUUGCAUCUGCAUGUCAUUUUGGUUGUUUCUGAAAUACUAGUUCUAGUUGUUGCUCUUGAUCUGAGGAGAUCAUAUUCUGGUUCUACAAUCGAUGCUUGGAUGGUGUGUUAAAAUGAUUGGUUUUUUCAUGUCAACAUUUUUGGGCUAAAAGUUGGAACUCUUAUGAAGAUUUCAUCACAACAACCACAAACUUGCAACAUGGUUCAAGAUACAGCUCUAGCUUUAUUAAGAAAUGAAUUCAAGAUGU
rnacentral:lncRNA from 1 species